rnacentral:rRNA from 1 species
GACGUAGGGCGCGAGCGUUGUCCGGAUUUAUUGGGCGUAAAGAGCUCGUAGGCGGUCUGUCGCGUCGGCUGUGAAAACCCGGGGCUCAACCCCGGGCCUGCAGUCGAUACGGGCAGACUAGAGUGCGGUAGGGGAGACUGGAAUUCCUGGUGUAGCGGUGAAAUGCGCAGAUAUCAGGAGGAACACCGGUGGCGAAGGCGGGUCUCUGGGCCGUAACUGACGCUGAGGAGCGAAAGUGUGGGGAGUGAACAGG